AUAAAAUGUGAAGUAAAACCAUAUAUUUCACACAUUGAAAAUCACAAGGUUAAAGAUGUGAGGCUGAAGGUCAGGGCCCUGAACACCACAUGAGAUUAUUUACACCUGAGCUGUCACAUGAACAUCGUCCAUGUUCAAUACAAAACACAUAUAUAUUGAUUAUUAAUUGUUAUACAUAAUUGUUGUGUAUAAAGCAGUUAUCAGGUUUAUUAACUGUUGAUCUUCUGGAUUCUCCUUCUACACACUAACCUGCUGACCAGGUGAGGUCAGUUAGCAGCGGUUAGCAUUAGCAGGGCGAUGAACACCAUUUGUGGACUGAAAGUGAAUUGCAGCUUCUCUCCAGAGAAAACAGAAGAAACAGAAAAACACCUGAUAAAAGGAUUCUGCAGAGCUCAGUGACUCAUCCUCCGAAGGUCAGUGAACGGGGACCCUGUUUAUUGAGCUUUGGCGCCCACCAAGGGGUCUCGAUCCCGCCUUCCACUCCAGCCCCUGCGGUUCAGUAUUCCACACGGCGGGACCAGAGGGCAGCGGCGUCGAGACUUGCAUCCGGCCGGCCAUGU